CAUACCGUAAACGAUGAAUGCUAAGUGUUGGAGGGUUUCCGCCCUUCAGUGCUGCAGCUAACGCAUUAAGCAUUCCGCCUGGGGAGUACGGCCGCAAGGCUGAAACUCAAAGGAAUUGACGGGGGCCCGCACAAGCGGUGGAGCAUGUGGUUUAAUUCGAAGCUACGCGAAGAACCUUACCAGGUCUUGACAUACUACGCUAACCUGAGAGAUCAGGCGUUCCCUUCGGGGACGUGGAUACAGGUGG
rnacentral:rRNA from 1 species